UGGUAACUGGCUUAGUGGUAGACGUACUGGCUGGUAAACCAGUAGGUCUCGGGUUCGAAAUUCGGCCCGGAUUUCUUC
rnacentral:tRNA from 1 species